UAGAGUUUGCAACCACUGGACUGGCAUGCUUUCUCAAUUCAAAAAUAUAAAUCUUUCUCAAUACCAUUGCUAUUUUAGUGAUCCCACACAAAAACAACACAAGCAGAUAACCUAACACAUAGUACUUAACCAAUAUAUUCAACAUGUAGACAUUGUAUGGUGAUUUAAAUGGUUCUUGGUUACUUAUUCAUAUUGUCAAAGGCAUCAACUUUCAUGCCUUCAAAAGCUAAUUUUUUAAUACUCUGCGAUCAUAAUACAUCUCUAGCCAUUCUACCUAUGUCAUGCGAUUCUACACCAUGACAAGAGCCAUUUCUUGAUCAAUAGCCACUAACCAUAUCAAAUUACAAAAUUACAAAAACAAACUAUAAAUUACUAAGUUUCAGAGAGCAAUAGAACGUACCAAAAAUACACAAGCAAAAUAAAUUAUCAAAACUUACCUUAGAAGCAUAUUUUCGAGAGUGUAUUCCCAAAACGAAAGUACAAUCUCCUUUCAAACUGUUCCUUCACUUCCCCACAAACUGAACAA
rnacentral:lncRNA from 1 species